ensembl:miRNA MIR1296 microRNA 1296
AGCCACCUAACUGGGUUAGGGCCCUGGCUCCAUCUCCUUUAGGAAAACCUUCUGUGGGGAGUGGGGUUUCGACCCUAACCCAGCUGGGCUGU